rnacentral:lncRNA from 10 species
CCCAGGAAGAUAUGUGGAGAACGGAAAGGUUGCUACACCCAAAUAGUGGCGCAAAGGCUAUGAUUAUGGAGGAUUGGACCUGCAAACUCCAGAACAGAGCAACCUUGUAAAAUGUGUGUGGGCAGCACAGAGACCUUGGGCAAGUUAACAGUUUCCUCAUCUGUAAAUACUGAUUUAUGGAAAGCACCUGGUGUAUGUUCUGCCCUCUGAGGACCCUGCCCUUUCCCAAAAGGGGUAUCUUAAGAAGGAAAAUAUGGCUGCUCUUUGCCGGACAGCAGAGUCCCAGAACCCCAUGCAGGUGUUUCAGGGCUUUACGUCAUUCAAGGAUGUGGCUGUGAACUUCACUAGGAAGAAUGGAGAGUACUGGACCUUGCUCAGAGAGUCUUGUACAGGGAUGUAAUGCUGGAGAACUAUAGGAACCUGGUCUCCUUGGGAUUUCCAUUUUCCAAACCUGGUAUCAUCUCCUAGUUGGAAGAAGUGGUAGGCCCACGAACGCAAAUGCAGGAGGGAGAGGUGCCAAGAAGCAGCCUCCCGAGUAGCUGGGAUUACAGGUGCCUGCCACCACACCCAGCUAACGUUUUGUAUUUUUAGUAGAGAUGGGGUUUCACCAUGUUGGCCAGGCAGAUCUCAAACUUCUGACCUCGUGAUGCACUCACCUCGGCCUCCCAAAGUGCUGGGAUUACAGGCGUGAGCCACUGCGCCCUGCCUGUUUGUAGUAAUUUUUAGGCACCAAAUCUCCCUCAUCUUCUAGUGCCAUUCUCCUCUCUGUUCAGGUAAAUGUCACACUGUGCCCAGAAUGGAUGACCAGGAACCUUCAAGAGUGGCUGAAAAGAUUGCAGAGUUAUCAUAAUAAAUUGCUAACUUGCGUA